rnacentral:lncRNA from 7 species
GGAGGGCGGCCGAGGCGGCGCGCCGGACGAUGCAGGCGGGCGGGGAGUGGGAGCCCGGCCUGCAGAGCAUCCCCGAGGAGGUUUACUAGCUAGUAAUCUCUGCUUCACUAAUUAUGGGUUGGGUUGGGUACGUUUUGAUCACUGCCUCGCUGCUAAGUGCUACUAGUAGUAGAUGCGUGUGUGUGUACAGCGCUGUUUUUGCUCUGGACCCUCGUUAUCAUGGGUUCCAUUCCAAUGCCUGCUUGACAUAGUCCUCUCCGCGAGUUUCU